rnacentral:rRNA from 1 species
AUUGAACGCUGGCGGCAGGCUUAACACAUGCAAGUCGAGCGCCCCGCAAGGGGAGCGGCAGACGGGUGAGUAACGCGUGGGAAUCUACCCAUCUCUACGGAAUAACGCAUGGAAACGUGUGCUAAUACCGUAUACGUCCUUCGGGAGAAAGAUGUAUCGGAGAUGGAUGAGCCCGCGUUGGAUUAGCUAGUUGGUGGGGUAAAGGCCUACCAAGGCGACGAUCCAUAGCUGGUCUGAGAGGAUGAUCAGCCACACUGGGACUGAGACGCGGCCCAGACUCCUACGGGAGGCAGCAGUGGGGAAUAUUGGACAAUGGGCGCAAGCCUGAUCCAGCCAUGCCGCGUGAGUGAUGAAGGCCCUAGGGUUGUAAAGCUCUUUCACCGGUGAAGAUAAUGACGGUAACCGGAGAAGAAGCCCCGGCUAACUUCGUGCCAGCCGCCGCGGUAACAC